GCCUCCCAAAGUGCUGGGAUUACAGGCAUGAGCCACUGCACCUGGUCGGUUACUGUUAUAUAGUUAUUGUAUUAUGGGAGUAGAUCAUGAUUUAAUUAUUCAUUCUCUGAUCUAAGGAUGUUUGGAGCUGUUUUCAGGUUUUUUCUUUCACAGUGCUGCUGAGAACAUUCCAGUUCGUAACUGGACCCACAGAUGCAAUGGUGUCGAUCUAGGAGUGGAAUUGCUGGGUUAUGGAGUAAGGCUAAAUUGUUUUCGAAAGCGGCUGUACCUGCUGAUACUCCCUUUGGCAGUAUAGAAGUAUUCCUGUUGAUCCACAGCCUUCCCAGCCCAUGAGUCUGAAAAUGCUGGAUAGCUUCCUGGCUGCCCUUGCAACUAGAUGUGGCCAUGGGACCGAGUUCUGGUCAAUACGAUACAGGGGCAUGUUUACUGGGAGGCUUCUGAGAAGAUUUAUCUCCUUGAAAAAAGGAAGUAGGUUCUCCCUCCUUCUGCCUGCCAUGGAUGUUCAUACAUGAGAACAUGAUGUUUGGAACUGCAGCAGCCACCUUGCAAGUCCGGGCAGUUCCUGGGGCACCUGUCAGAUGCUCACUGUGUCAUGGUGUCUGAGCCAGAUUUCCCACACAAGACCAUAAAGUUCUUUACAAUUGGAACCAUGCCUCUCCCUAUCUCAACCUUGGAAAACUGAAUGGAGAUGUUCCCUUUCCUGUCCACAAUCUGCAGGAGCUCCGGCGAAGCGCCUCACUGGCCACCAAGGUCUUUAUCCAGAGAGACUACAGCGAUGGGACCAUCUGUCAGUUCCAGACCAAAUUCCCCCCAGAGCUGGAC